rnacentral:rRNA from 1 species
CCGAAUGGGGAAACCCAGUGUGACUCGUCACACUAUCAUUAACUGAAUCCAUAGGUUAAUGAGGCGAACCGGGGGAACUGAAACAUCUAAGUACCCCGAGGAAAAGAAAUCAACCGAGAUUCCCCCAGUAGCGGCGAGCGAACGGGGAGGAGCCCAGAGCCUGAAUCAGCAUGUGUGUUAGUGGAAGCGUCUGGAAAGGCGCGCGAUACAGGGUGACAGCCCCGUACACAAAAGCGCAUGUGCUGUGAGCUCGAUGAGUAGGGCGGGACACGUGGUAUCCUGUCUGAAUAUGGGGGGACCAUCCUCCAAGGCUAAAUACUCCUGACUGACCGAUAGUGAACCAGUACCGUGAGGGAAAGGCGAAAAGAACCCCGGCGAGGGGAGUGAAAAAGAACCUGAAACCGUGUACGUACAAGCAGUGGGAGCCCCACCACUAAGCCAGUGGUGAACUCCACAUACGCAUCCUUUGCUGAGGAUACGGUUAACGGAGCGAAAGCGACGUUCAACCGCAAAAGAAGCAGAGGGGGCUUAGUGGUGGGGUGACUGCGUACCUUUUGUAUAAUGGGUCAGCGACUUAUAUUCUGUAGCAAGGUUAACCGAAUAGGGGAGCCGGAGGGAAACCGAGUCUUAAYYGGGCGUUAAGUUGCAGGGUAUAGACCCGAAACCCGGUGAUCUAGCCAUGGGCAGGUUGAAGGUUGGGUAACACUAACUGGAGGACCGAACCGACUAAUGUUGAAAAAUUAGCGGAUGACCUGUGGCUGGGGGUGAAAGGCCAAUCAAACCGGGAGAUAGCUUGCUGGAGGUAUCAGAAGUGCGAAUGCUGACAUAAGUAACGAUAAAGCGGGUGAAAAGCCCGCUCGCCGGAAGACCAAGGGUUCCUGUCCAACGUUAAUCGGGGCAGGGUGAGUCGACCCCUAAGGCGAGGCCGAAAGGCGUAGUCGAUGGGAAACGGGUUAAUAUUCCCGUACUUGGUGUUACUGCGAAGGGGGGACGGAGAAGGCUAUGUUGGCCGGGCGACGGUUGUCCCGGUUUAAGCGUGUAGGUGUGUGUUCCAGGUAAAUCCGGUUCACUUUAACACUGAGGCGUGAYGACGAGGCACUACGGUGCUGAAGCAACAAAUGCCCUGCUUCCAGGAAAAGCCUCUAAGCAUCAGGUAACAUCAAAUCGUACCCCAAACCGACACAGGUGGUCAGGUAGAGAAUACCAAGGCGCUUGAGAGAACUCGGGUGAAGGAACUAGGCAAAAUGGUGCCGUAACUUCGGGAGAAGGCACGCUGACAYGUAGGUGAAGUGAUUUACUCAYGGAGCUGAAGUCAGUCGAAGAUACCAGCUGGCUGCAACUGUUUAUUAAAAACACAGCACUGUGCAAACACGAAAGUGGACGUAUACGGUGUGACGCCUGCCCGGUGCCGGAAGGUUAAUUGAUGGGGUCAGCGCAAGCGAAGCUCCUGAUCGAAGCCCCGGUAAACGGCGGCCGUAACUAUAACGGUCCUAAGGUAGCGAAAUUCCUUGUCGGGUAAGUUCCGACCUGCACGAAUGGCGUAAUGAUGGCCAGGCUGUCUCCACCCGAGACUCAGUGAAAUUGAACUCGCUGUGAAGAUGCAGUGUACCCGCGGCAAGACGGAAAGACCCCGUGAACCUUUACUAUAGCUUGACACUGAACAUUGAGCCUUGAUGUGUAGGAUAGGUGGGAGGCUUUGAAGUGUGGACGCCAGUCUGCAUGGAGCCGRCCUUGAAAUACCACCCUUUAAUGUUUGAUGUUCUAACGUGGACCCGUGAUCCGGGUUGCGGACAGUGUCUGGUGGGUAGUUUGACUGGGGCGGUCUCCUCCUAAAGAGUAACGGAGGAGCACGAAGGUUGGCUAAUCCUGGUCGGACAUCAGGAGGUUAGUGCAAUGGCAUAAGCCAGCUUGACUGCGAGCGUGACGGCGCGAGCAGGUGCGAAAGCAGGUCAUAGUGAUCCGGUGGUUCUGAAUGGAAGGGCCAUCGCUCAACGGAUAAAAGGUACUCCGGGGAUAACAGGCUGAUACCGCCCAAGAGUUCAUAUCGACGGCGGUGUUUGGCACCUCGAUGUCGGCUCAUCACAUCCUGGGGCUGAAGUAGGUCCCAAGGGUAUGGCUGUUCGCCAUUUAAAGUGGUACGCGAGCUGGGUUUAGAACGUCGUGAGACAGUUCGGUCCCUAUCUGCCGUGGGCGCUGGAGAACUGAGGGGGGCUGCUCCUAGUACGAGAGGACCGGAGUGGACGCAUCACUGGUGUUCGGGUUGUCAUGCCAAUGGCACUGCCCGGUAGCUAAAUGCGGAAGAGAUAAGUGCUGAAAGCAUCUAAGCACGAAACUUGCCCCGAGAUGAGUUCUCCCUGAGACUUWRRGUCUCCUGAAGGAACGUUGAAGACGACGACGUUGAUAGGCCGGGUGUGUAAGCGCAGCGAUGCGUUGAGCUAACCGGUACUAAUGAACCGUGAGGCUUAACCUU